CAUACCUAUAACGUUGCCUCGGCGGGAACAGACGGCCCCGUAACACGGGCCGCCCCCGCCAGAGGACCCCCUAACUCUGUUUCUAUAAUGUUUCUUCUGAGUAAACAAGCAAAUAAAUUAAAACUUUCAACAACGGAUCUCUUGGCUCUGGCAUCGAUGAAGAACGCAGCGAAAUGCGAUAAGUAAUGUGAAUUGCAGAAUUCAGUGAAUCAUCGAAUCUUUGAACGCACAUUGCGCCCGCCAGUAUUCUGGCGGGCAUGCCUGUUCGAGCGUCAUUACAACCCUCAGGCCCCCGGGCCUGGCGUUGGGGAUCGGCGGAAGCCCCCUGCGGGCACAACGCCGUCCCCCAAAUACAGUGGCGGUCCCGCCGCAGCUUCCAUUGCGUAGUAGCUAACACCUCGCAACUGGAGAGCGGCGCGGCCACGCCGUAAAACACCCAACUUCUGAAUGUUGACCUCGAAUCAGGUAGGAAUACCCGCUGAACUUAAGCAUAUCAAU
rnacentral:rRNA from 1 species